rnacentral:rRNA from 1 species
UACAGAGGUCCCGAGCGUUGUUCGGAUUCAUUGGGCGUAAAGGGUGCGUAGGCGGUCUGUCGCGUCUGCUGUGAAAACUCGGGGCUUAACCCCGGGCCUGCAGUGGGUACGGGCAGACUAGAGUGCGGUAGGGGAGACUGGAAUUCCUGGUGUAGCGGUGAAAUGCGCAGAUAUCAGGAAGAACACCCGUGGCUAAGGCGGUUCUCUAGUACGGUACUGACGCUGAGACGCGAAAGCGUGGGGAGCGAACAGG